rnacentral:rRNA from 1 species
CAGUCGCCGCGGUAAUACGUAGGGUGCGAGCGUUAAUCGGAAUUACUGGGCGUAAAGCGUGCGUAGGUGGUGGUUUAAGUCCGUUGUGAAAGCCCUGGGCUCAACCUGGGAAUUGCAGUGGAUACUGGGUCACUAGAGUGUGGUAGAGGAUAGUGGAAUUUCCGGUGUAGCAGUGAAAUGCGUAGAGAUCGGAAGGAACAUCUGUGGCGAAGGCGACUAUCUGGGCCAACACUGACACUGAGGCACGAAAGCGUGGGGAGCAAACAGGAUUAGAUACCCCUGUAGUCCCUGUCUCUUAUAC